rnacentral:rRNA from 1 species
GAUGAACGCUGGCGGCGUGCCUAAUACAUGCAAGUCGAGCGAACAGACGAGGAGCUUGCUCCUCUGACGUUAGCGGCGGACGGGUGAGUAACACGUGGAUAACCUACCUAUAAGACUGGGAUAACUUCGGGAAACCGGAGCUAAUACCGGAUAACAUGUUGAACCGCAUGGUUCAACAGUGAAAGGCGGUCUUGCUGUCACUUAUAGAUGGAUCCGCGCCGCAUUAGCUAGUUGGUAAGGUAACGGCUUACCGAGGCAACGAUGCGUAGCCGACCUGAGAGGGUGAUCGGCCACACUGGAACUGAGACACGGUCCAGACUCCUACGGGAGGCAGCAGUAGGGAAUCUUCCGCAAUGGGCGAAAGCCUGACGGAGCAACGCCGCGUGAGUGAAGAAGGUCUUCGGAUCGUAAAACUCUGUUAUUAGGGAAGAACAAAUGUGUAAGUAACUAUGCACGUCUUGACGGUACCUAAUCAGAAAGCCACGGCUAACUACGUG